GCUUACGGUCAUACCAGCCUGAAUACGCCCGAUCUCGUCCGAUCUCGGAAGCUAAGCAGGGUCGGGCCUGGUUAGUACUUGGAUGGGAGACCGCCUGGGAAUACCAGGUGCUGUAAGCU
ensembl:rRNA 5S_rRNA 5S ribosomal RNA